rnacentral:tRNA from 1 species
AUCAGAGUGGCGUAGCGGAAGUGUGGUGGGCCCAUAACCCACAGGUCCGAGGAUCGAAACCUCGUUCUGAUA